UGUUGAAAAUUCCAUUCACUUGUACUGUUAAAAGUUGACGUGGUUGACGAAAUAACUAGACAAUGGCACGUGACAUGCCAUGUGUAUAUCAUGUUGACAUACAUAGACCAAUUUUUAAUAGCAAAAAUGGAUGAAAUUUUCAACA
rfam:Gossypium arboreum cultivar AKA8401 contig_52835_1, whole genome shotgun sequence.